GACGAACGCUGGCGGCGUGCCUAACACAUGCAAGUCGAGCGAUGAAGUUUCCUUCGGGAAACGGAUUAGCGGCGGACGGGUGAGUAACACGUGGGUAACCUGCCUCAUAGAGGGGAAUAGCCUCCCGAAAGGGAGAUUAAUACCGCAUAAUAUUACAGUUUCGCAUGAAACAGUAAUUAAAGGAGCAAUCCGCUAUGAGAUGGACCCGCGGCGCAUUAGCUAGUUGGUGAGGUAACGGCUCACCAAGGCGACGAUGCGUAGCCGACCUGAGAGGGGGAUCGGCCACAUUGGGACUGAGACACGGCCCAGACUCCUACGGGAGGCAGCAGUGGGGAAUAUUGCACAAUGGGGGAAACCCUGAUGCAGCAACGCCGCGUGAGUGAUGACGGUCUUCGGAUUGUAAAGCUCUGUCUUUGGGGACGAUAAUGACGGUACCCAAGGAGGUAGCCACGGCUAACUACGUGCCAGCAGCCGCCGUAAGAC
rnacentral:rRNA from 1 species